GGGAGAGUAAACUGAAAAGACAAAUGUGU
rnacentral:piRNA from 1 species